CUCGUAGUUGAAUUUCGGGAUCAAUAUGCCGGUCACGCCUUGGUAUGCACUGGUAUCUUUGAUUUCUCCCUUCUGACGAACUUUGAUGUCAUUAAUUUGGUGUCAUAGGAAUCAGGACUGUUACUUUGAAAAAUUAGAGUGUUUAAAGCAGGCUCACGCUUGAAUACAUUAGCAUGGAAUAAUGAAAUAGGACGUUUGAUUCUAAUUUUGUUGGUUUCUAGGAUCGACGUAAUGAUUAAUAGGGAUAGUUGGGGGCAUUAGUAUUCAAUUGUCAGAGGUGAAAUUCUUGGAUUUAUUGAAGACUAACUACUGCGAAAGCAUUUGCCAAGGAUGUUUUCAUUAAUCAAGAACGAAAGUUAGGGGAUCGAAGACGGUCAGAUACCGUCGUAGUCUUAACCAUAAACUAUGCCGACUAGGGAUCGGAUGAUGUUAAUUUUUUAAUGACUCAUUCGGCGCCUUAC
rnacentral:rRNA from 1 species